GCCUAUGUGUGUCUUUGCACAUGAGAUGGGUCCCCUGAAUACAGCAUACCAAUGGAUCUUAACUCUUUAUCCAAUUUGGAGACUGGGUAUUUUAUAAAGAGGAAAGGUUAAGGAGAAAAGUUGCUGCGGGAGGAUAUCUUGGCCCAGAUUUUAAAAGUCAAAGACAGUGGACUGCCUUAUAACCUCAAAUGGUUUCACAUUUCAGUUUGGAGCUGAUCAGUGCAUCCUCUGUGUCCUGAUGCUUAACUUUUCUUUUCUUUUCUUUUCUUUUUGAGAUGGAAUCUCACUCUGUUGCCCAGGCUGUAGUUCAGUGGCAUGAUGUUGGCUCAGUGCAACCUCUACCCGCUGGGUUCAAGUGAUUCUCCUGCCUCAGCCUCCCAAGUAGCUGGGAUUACAGG
rnacentral:lncRNA from 1 species